UACGGGGGGGGGCAAGCGUUGUUCGGAAUUACUGGGCGUAAAGGGCUCGUAGGUGGCCAACUAAGUCAGACGUGAAAAUCCCUCGGCUUAACCGGGGAACUGCGUCUGAUACUGGAUGGCUUGAGGUUGGGAGAGGGAUGCGGAAUUCCAGGUGUAGCGGUGAAAUGCGUAGAUAUCUGGAGGAACACCGGUGGCGAAGGCGGCAUCCUGGACCAAUUCUGACGCUGAGGAGCGAAAGCCAGGGGAGCAAACGGG
rnacentral:rRNA from 1 species